AGCCAUCAUGAAGAAUCCCCUAGCUAUCACCUGAGCUGCAACAAGAGCUGUACCAGGGGAAAGAAUUGUGCCCAGGCCUGGAAGGUGUCCAGUCUGAGAAAAACUUACUGAAACAUCUCUGAGGGUGUCCUGUAAAUGCUGCUAGAGUCUGCAGGUGAAAUCUCAACCAGGCAAUGGGGAAUUCUCAUUGAUCGCCUCUAAGUGGCGACCGCUACCGCUGGUUAUUUCUGAAAUAAUUUCUAUCAUCCAGAAAUCUGAACUGAGCCUUCUGCUUCCGCCUACCUGCUGCCAAUGAGCACUUCAAGUUUCACAUACCCAAUGAAAGGAUGCCCAAGUUAUCCCAGGAAAUACAGAAUUCUGCAUUAGUAAGUAAUGAUAUUUUAGUGUGAAAUCUGAUGGAGCUGGUUAUUCUGUCACCAACGCCAAGUGGAAAGGGUACUGAGCUACAUGAGAUGCCGUUUGUUAACAGGAUCUGACGACAGCCUAGUCCAACAGAAAUCUUUUGUAGGAGGUUGCUCAUAGUCUUUUUCCAUCCUGGAGACGGUGGAACUAUGGGGGAGAGAUCACAGAUGGCCUGAUACUCUAUUAAAAGCUCCAGGGAUGCUUAGAAGAAAUCCCCACAUCUCUUAAGAAAAAUUGAUGGCUUCCCAUUAAGUCAAUGACACCUUCUCAAUUGAUGUUCUGGUCUGUGGAAAAGACUAUUUGUGAUGCAUGUAUGCAAAAUGCCACAGAAAUCUUGAAUAUUUUCUGAGCUAUAGACCACAGAAGCACAGUGCUCAAUGUGUUAAAAUGUGAAUGCAAAAUCAGCUUCAUUGCUCAAAAUCACUGUAUGUUAAUGGCCGUGAUGGCCCUUUUAUUUCCAUAAUUGCAGUUAAAUAAACAUGCCAUUG